UACGUAGGGUGCAAGCGUUAAUCGGAAUUACUGGGCGUAAAGCGUGCGCAGGCGGUUUUGUAAGUCAGAUGUGAAAUCCCCGGGCUUAACCUGGGAACUGCGUUUGAAACUACAAGGCUAGAGUGUGGCAGGAGGGGGGUGGAAUUCCACGUGUAGCAGUGAAAUGCGUAGAGAUGUGGAGGAACACCGAUGGCGAAGGCAGCCCCCUGGGUUAACACUGACGCUCAGGCACGAAAGCGUGGAGAGCAAACAGG
rnacentral:rRNA from 1 species